rnacentral:rRNA from 1 species
GCGGCAUGCCUAAUACAUGCAAGUCGAGCGAAUGACGAAGAAGCUUGCUUCUUCUGAUUUAGCGGCGGACGGGUGAGUAACACGUGGGCAACCUGCCCUGUAGAUUGGGAUAACUCCGGGAAACCGGGGCUAAUACCGAAUAAUCCAUUUCCUCACAUGGGGAGAUGUUAAAAGACGGCAUCUCGCUGUCCCUACAGGAUGGGCCCGCGGCGCAUUAGCUAGUUGGUGAGGUAACGGCUCACCAAGGCGACAAUGCGUAGCCAACCUGAAAGGGUGAUCGGCCACACUGGGACUGAAACACGGCCCAAACUCCUACGGGAGGCAGCAGUAGGGAAUCUUCCACAAUGGACGAAAGUCUGAUGGAGCAAUGCCGCGUGAGUGAAAAAGGUUUUCGGAUCGUAAAACUCUGUUGGGAGGGAAGAACAAGUACGAGAGUAACUGCUCGUACCUUGACGGUACCUCAUUAAAAAGCCACGGCUAACUACGUGCCACCAGCCGCGGUAUAACCUAGGUGGCAAGCGUUGUCCGGAAUUAUUGGGGGUCCUGCGCUCGCAGGCAGUCCUUUACUCCUAAUGUGAAAUCCCACGG